rnacentral:misc_RNA from 1 species
AAGUCGUAACAAGGUAACCGUAGGUGAACCUGCGGUUGGAUCAUUAACAAAUUCAUAUGAGCAUGAAUCGUCCCUCUCUGUGGAGCCGGGUCGAAAAUGUCGUGGGGAUGCUGGGGAUGCAGGUUGUAGUAGCAUGGGGCUUUUCAUCAUGAUUCCAAGUUGUGGAAUUGUGGUGUUGAGGCAUGUUCUCGUCUGUAUCCACUCCUCCACAUCCCAUGCUGUGUUUUUUCUUAUUCAUAUUCUGACAAUUGAAACAAAAAAUGGCAUUAACAACUUUUGGCAACGGAUCUCUUGGCUCUC